rnacentral:rRNA from 1 species
CACAACAGCCACUCACUGAAGCUAAGCAGGGCUGAGCCUGGUCAGUACCUGGAUGGGAGACCACAUGGGAAAGCUAGGUUGCUGUUGGAA